rnacentral:rRNA from 1 species
GAUGAACGCUAGCUACAGGCUUAACACAUGCAAGUCGAGGGGCAGCGCAGUGUAGCAAUACAUGGGCGGCGACCGGCGCACGGGUGCGUAACGCGUAUCCAACCUUCCCGUUACUCAGGGAUAGCCUUCCGAAAGGGAGAUUAAUACCUGAUGGUGUUUGAAUUCCGCAUGUUAUUCAAACUAAAGAUUUAUCGGUAACGGAUGGGGAUGCGUGACAUUAGGUAGAUGGCGGGGUAACGGCCCACCAUGCCUACGAUGUCUAGGGGUUCUGAGAGGAAGGUCCCCCACACUGGAACUGAGACACGGUCCAGACUCCUACGGGAGGUAGCAGUGAGGAAUAUUGGUCAAUGGUCGGAAGACUGAACCAGCCAAGUAGCGUGAAGGAUGAAGGUUCUAUGGAUUGUAAACUUCUUUUAUACGGGAAUAAAACCACCUACGUGUAGGUGCUUGUAUGUACCGUAUGAAUAAGCAUCGGCUAACUCCGUGCCAGCCGCCGCGGUAACAC